rnacentral:rRNA from 1 species
GAUGAACGCUGGCGGCGUGCUUAACACAUGCAAGUCGAACGGGAAACCUUUUAUUGAAGCUUCGGCAGAUUUAGCUGGUUUCUAGUGGCGGACGGGUGAGUAACGCGUGGGUAACCUGCCCUAUACAGGGGGAUAACAACCAGAAAUGGUUGCUAAUACCGCAUAAGCGCACAGGGCCGCAUGGUCCGGUGUGAAAAACUCCGGUGGUAUAGGAUGGACCCGCGUUGGAUUAGCCAGUUGGCAGGGUAACGGCCUACCAAAGCGACGAUCCAUAGCCGGCAUGAGAGGGUGAACGGCCACAUUGGGACUGAGACACGGCCCAGACUCCUACGGGAGGCAGCAGUGGGGAAUAUUGCACAAUGGGGGAAACCCUGAUGCAGCGACGCCGCGUGAAGGAAGAAGUAUCUCGGUAUGUAAACUUCUAUCAGCAGGGAAGAUAGUGACGGUACCUGACUAAGAAGCCCCGGCUAACUACGUG